CGUGCCCUCGGUACAAUCCGAUGCACAAACUGCAAACUGGGUUCACCGUCAACCACAACGGCACCCGACAGUCCGGAACAGUCUGUACACUACUGUAAAAAUAUACUCGGCAUCUCAGCAUGAGCGUAAAUGCAUUCUACACUAUUCUGAAUAUCUACAGCCCACAAACUGCAGCGAUACAAACUAACUACUGCUCCUAGAGCUAAAUCUAGU
rnacentral:lncRNA from 1 species